rnacentral:rRNA from 1 species
UACGAAGGGGGCUAGCGUUGCUCGGAAUUACUGGGCGUAAAGCGCACGUAGGCGGUCUUUUAAGUCGGGGGUGAAAUCCUGGAGCUCAACUCCAGAACUGCCUUCGAUACUGGAGACUUGAGUCCGGGAGAGGUGAGUGGAACUGCGAGUGUAGAGGUGAAAUUCGUAGAUAUUCGCAAGAACACCAGUGGCGAAGGCGGCUCACUGGCCCGGAACUGACGCUGAGGUGCGAAAGCGAUGGG